rnacentral:lncRNA from 1 species
UGGAAUUCUGAAUAUAAGUGUUACAACAUACUGCAAGUACAACAGCAGAAAAAUAAUUCAAAUUAUUUUUAAAAAAUCAAACACAAUUCGUGUUGUCAAUGCAUAAAAGUGAACAACAGUUGGUACAUUAUGAUAAAGAUAUACUAAACCUUUGCAGACAUGCAUGGCCUUUCCAAAAAUUUCUUAAGAAAGUCUAACAGUACUAAUUCAGAAGUCAAACAACAAAAAUCAGCGUUAAUUUACAAAAUUUUCACAGGACUAGUUUCGAUGGUUUUACUGAACCAUCAUCUUCAGCUGCAAAACCGCAAAUGAACAAGAUAGGAAAACAGUCAAGAAAGUCUAACAGGUCUGUGACUAAAUAAGAACUAUUCCUAAAGAACAAUUCAAACCUCUAGAGUGAGCCUUUGGUCAGGACUGAUGGGAUGCCAUUAAACCUACCAAAUGUAUCCAACGUAUAUUCUGCUUGAUUCAUAGAGAUUAUAUUGGUCAUUCUAUACACUGGCUAAUUUCCUUUGUGGAAAAAAUAAUCCAUCUAGUUUUCUCUCUCCAGAUUAAUAUCCAGUUUUAAAUAUUUAUCUUAAAUGUUUUAAUAAAAAUUGUUUGCAUGUAUAUGAUUUUUAUACUCGUGUAAUUCAUGUAAUUAUGGAGAUUAUUAUCAAAUAUAUAUUUAAUUCAUUUAAUAUCUUUAUGUUUUACACUUAAAUGCCAAAAGUCAUGCAGUAUUUAUCCAGUAUUAUGUGAGAAUUACUGUUUAACUGUAUUUUAAUUACUGUUCAACUGUAGAAGGACAUCUAUUUACUGUCCAUGAAUGAAUAUCAUAGGAGGAUUCACAAUUCUACCAGAAUUUCAAAAAAUUAUUAGCACAUAUUGCAACAAAUACAGCAAAAAUGUAAAUAUCAGUACAUAAAGAGUGUGUCUGGGUGUUUGAUGUGUGCCUUCCUAGUAAACAUAGCGUAGUUCGGUCCCUGUCACUCUGUUCAUUUGGACAGGCAGUCAAAUCACAACUGACUAGUAUUUAACAAAUUUUAUAAUCCAGUAACCUUUGGAUUGCUUUUUGGGGGGGGUUAUGUAUUUUAUGUUACAAAGAAUGCCAUGCACGCAUUAUACUGUUGCCAAGUGGCUAAAUCUAAAAUUACAGGACAGGGCCCUGUAAAGAUAGACUCUGUCAUGUAAUCAUGUUUGUCAUGAGAAUUUGGCGAGAUUUAUUAUGUAUUGCUAUACAACAUUUCGCUGCAUUUGUAGCAGUUAUUGCACUGUGAAUGUCUGAAACCUAAGAGGGAAUUAUGAAUCCCAUUGCUUAAAAAUUGGACUCAAAGCAUCUCUAGAUAGCCUAACAUCAGCUUUUUUCUUUUUUUUAAACUAAUGUUAUUCUCUUAUUUUUCCAUAGUCUGCCAUAGUAAGAACAGAACCUGUGAUGUAUAGCCCUAAUAAUAAACCCUGCAAUCCACAAAGCACCACUUAUGUUCCUGUUGUGGAGACUGAGACUUGUAAAGUAUUUUACACGACAGAACUCCCAAAGUCACCAGGACAUUCAUUCAGCCACUCAUCUAGUGCCUCUCCAUCACCUUUGCCUUUAGACACAUCUUUACUGGGGGAAGAUAUUUUGAACACUUCGUCUGUAUCUAGCAAAACACGCACAGUUGAAACUAUAACAUACAAAACUGAAAAAGAUGGAGUAAUUGAAACGCGUGUGGAAAAGAAAAUAACUAUUCACAGUGAUGGAGACCCAAUUGAUCAUGAUCAAGCAUUAGCUGAAGCCAUUCAUGAAGCAACACUAAUGAAUCCUAACUUAACUGUAGAGAAAAUUGAAAUACAACAACAGCCUCCUAAAGUGUAACUUCUAUUCUUCACAUGAGAUAUUUUUAAGAGAAUAAUAAUCUGUGAGAGAAGUAGAUGAAAUUUAUCAAGGCAUAUAUUUUUUAACGUGUGCUGUGAUUUUUGUGUGCUUCUGCAAGUGAAGAAUUUGUGUUCUAAUACGUAAAUAUUCAUCUAUAAAAUCCAUGAAUUUUGUUUCAUCAUUAAGUUUUGCUUAAAAGUAAAACUAAUUUUCAUUUUCCACAGUUUUAGUAAAGUGCUACCUGCUCUCUUUUCAGUAUUAAAAUCAUUAUUAAAAUACUUUGAGCAACAGGAAAAGAAGUAAAGAACUGUUGAAAUGUAUCUUAUUUUUUCAUCAAUUACCAAGCGAAAAAAACUGUUUUGUAUAUAUUUUUUAAAUAUUUGCAGUGUUUAAUAUUUUAACUGGUAUUAAAUAUUGAGGAGCAAAAAUUUAUAUUUUUGUAUGGUGGUCAUAUUAUAUGUAAGAUGGUAUAUUAAAAAAUGGCCUGUGAGUUCAGUUAGAAGUAAAGUGUCUUCUGAACAAAUUAUUUUAAUGUGGUUAAUUGAAUAAAAACUUCUUAUAUAAUGGUUCAAAAAUAUUUGUACAGAACAUAAUUGUUAUAUUUUGUAUUAUUUAUUUUCAUAACUGUUUAUGUUUUUAAUUUUAUUAUACUUUUAUUAUCUAGAAAAGUUUAAAUUUUGUGUUCUGUUGGUUCAUGGAUUAUGUAUCUUUUUUUCAUUAUUUUUUAUACCCAUUCCAGUGGUGUUUUGCACUUACGAACAGUUACGAAUCAACACCAUGCAUUACUUUUUCCCUCAUAAGCUCAUUAUUAUUUUAAGAAAUUCCUUAUUUCAUAUGUGUCUGAUUUUAGGCAAUUUAUAAAGAUGCUUUUUAAUGACAUUCCUUAACUUAAAAUUCAAAUUUUAGUACGGCUGGGAUAAAGAGUACCAUUAAUUAAAUACAACCACUGACAAAAGUGCAAAAUAGUUAUUCUUUGUGCUUUAAUUAAAUUACUAGAUCUUGCUAUAACCCAUCACUUUCAAAUGUUAGUUUAAUAUAACUCUUAACCAGUAACAAUAUUGACUGAAAAAUAAGAAAACUUAAAAAUUCUAGCUUGUCCUAAAAACUGUUCCUGUCAUUAAAUUCAUCAGUAAGUUGCAUUUUUUAUAUUCAUUCAGACUGUUGGUUAAACUUACUCACAUGUAAAAAUUAUGUGAUGUUGAUCUUUAAUUUCAAAAAGUUGCUCCGCUCCCAGGAAAAAAGAAAAAAAAAAAAAAAAAAAAACAGUUUGUGAAUUUUGCUGUAUGAAAACUUCCGAGAAAGUAUACAAUAUUAUCUCAAAUACUAUAUUCAAUUCAAAGAAAAAUUUAAGAAUUCUUUUAGAUCUGUAAAUUUUUAACUUGCACAAAUAGUUUUACAAAUUAUAUUAAGUCAAUUAUAAUGGAGCCAAAAAAAUAAUGCACUAUUAUGAGCAAUAAAGAGAUUAAAAUAUCAUAAUGGUAAAAAAUGCUAUCCAACUUCAAAUCACCAGAUUCAAUUCAGAGAUUUUUUUUAACUCUGUCUCAAUACAAAAUGUCAUAAAAAUAGUGAAAAAAUUAAAUUACAAUGAUUUCUUAUUCUUUAUAUUAUUAUAAGUGUUUGUGAAUAAUAGUUUUUCAAUAAAAAAACCUAAAAGUUCACAUCCAUAGAUAGUCAUCAUUCAAAUGUUUAAUAUAGUUAAACUUAUUCAAUUUUGCAAUUUGUCUUGCUUUCAUAAAUGUUACUGCAGAUUUGUAAGCUGUUUUAACAAUAAAUUUGAUAUCUUUCAACUUGUACCUUAUCAAAUGUCCUUUAAAUAGCAAGUCUUCAAUAAUAAUUAUGAUAUAAAGUUUGUACAUUUGAUAUUAUGUAGGCUUUAAAAGCUGCUUUUAAUGUUCUUAUAAAAAAUUAAACAAAGAAAAAUAUCAAUUUAUUAAUAGUUGUAAUACACAUUUUUAUAUGAAAGAUACUGUUUAUAUAAAUAAUGAUGGUCAAAAUUAAAUCAAACUUCAUUUAACUUUGACCAUCAAAGAAGAAAAUAAAGUUCCAGCAUUGACUAAUGAAAGCUAGUGUAUCUGAGAUUAAGAUGCAUAAAAUCAUUCAGAAGAAUACUAUCAUUGUGUGUUGUGCGGAGACCAUAUAUCAUAAUCAUUAGAUGAAUAUUCUUUUACAAUAGUUAAUAGAUUUUUUUUUAUAUAUUUUUUGUUUAGUAAGCUAAAAUAUCGACUUUAUCUAAAAAAAUUUCUGCUUCUUUAAAAAAGAAAAUGUAAACACUGAAGAAGUCUUCACCAUUAUUAAAAAAUUCCAAAUAUAGCAAACUCUAAAGCAACUGUUGCUAAUUCCAGAGAAUUUUGAUCUUCUGUGGAGAUGGUCAUAUUAGAGAAGUGAUGUUCAAUAAUGAUUAUUAUUUAUGUUCUCAAGAAUACUGGUCAUUUUUAGAAGUGGUUGUCUUAGGAAGAUGGUGUCACAAGAAGGUUCAUUACAAUAAGAUUAGGAUGCUCGAGUUCAAUUAUUCAAAAGAUACCUUUAACAAGGAAAUAGAAUAAAUAUAUUUUCACAACAUUAAAUAUUUUGUCAGAAGUACUUUGUUAUAUUUUUAUUAAAACUUUAAAAAGCAGUUAAAUUUUUUAUACAUUUAGAGAAUAAUUGUUCCUUCAGAGUACAAUUUGGUUAAAAAUGACAAUUUUGUAAAAAUUUUAAUUAAAUCAAUGUAUCAGUAAGAAAUAUCAAUGUUCUUUAUUCAUUAGAUAUAAUGAAAUACCAGAAUUGGUGAAGAUAUUAUCCUCAUUAUGAAUUAUGUAAACAAUGAAAUAAGGCUAAAUGAUUUUUGUAUCAAACAUAUUGACCAUUAAAAUUACUAUCCAAAAUAACCUGAAAAUUCUGAAGGCCUUGCAGAAUAAAACAGCCACCAAAGUCUAAAAGUUGGGCUUUUUUAAAUACAUAAUUCUUAUUUUCAUGGUACUUUUUUACAAUAUCUUUAUGUUUUCAUAUAUUGCAAUGAAAAGGUUCUCGUAAUUUUCCUUACAUGAAACGACACAGAUUUAUACUUAGUUUUAAUAUUAUGUCCCUGAUGUAACAAUUUAAAAAUAUUUCUAAUUUGCCAAAUACCCUAACUUAAGUACAAUUAGGCAACUGCAGAGGAGGAACUUAGUAAACUAAUUUAUUUUAAUAUAACACUCAAAUAUGUAAUAUUAAGCAACACCUUUACACUCUAGAUUAAAAUGUAUAUUUGUUUGAUUGUUUUCUACACAAUAUUAUUGCCUAUAUAUCUGCAGGGAAUACUUCUAACUUUGUUAUGAGAAAGUGUAGAUAAUACUGUGUGUUAUAUAAAAUUGGAUAUUCGUGUAAUAUACAGGGUACAGAGAAAAGUUGUUUUAAUCUAAAAAUUCUUGCGGGCGGAGAGAGCUACAGAUAUACAAGUGAAGUAAGAUGGUAUAGUAAGGCGAAUGUGCCCAACCAAAUGCAAACGUCAGCAGCGUUCCUAGUGGUGAAAUCUGGAAGCUAGGCACUGCAAAUCAAAAACGAAAAGAGAAGAAUUAGAAAGUUUCAGAGCACCAAUUAAUUAGUAAGAAAAAACAUUUGGUUCACACGGAUAAAAUAAACUGUUGCCUGUAUACCGAAAGAUGUCCACAAUUAAUGCACUCCAACAACUUUCGAACUAAAAUUUUAAAUGCAUUAGAAAUUAAAGUUUUACAGACGUUACAGUACAGUACAACGUCACAAUAUGCAACUGCCCACUGCUACAUUUCCGAAAUGUGACUAUGCAGAGUAGAAUCAUAGCAAUCAAUUGCGAAUAUCUUUGGAUACACAGGCGAGAGUUUAUCUUACUAAGUAUUAAUUAAUUGAUGCUCUAAAUCUUUCUAAUUAGAAAUUUUGUUCUCUUUUUCAUUUUUGAUUUGCAAUGCCUAUCUUCCAAAUUUCGCCACUAAGGGUGCUGCUGUCGUUUGCAUUAAGUCGGGCGCAGUCGCUUUACUAUACCUUUACCUUACUUGCAUAGCUGUAGCUCUCUCUGUUUGCAAGAACGUUCAGGUUAAAGGGACUUUCCUAUACACCCUGUAUAUGUAAUGUAUAAGUGCAAUUAAUUAAUUAUCCACAAUAAGACACCAUCAACUUUAGAGUAAUAAUCAAAUGUAUUGUAUAUUACAGUGUAUGUUUAAAAAUGUACCUUUCUCUCUAAUAAAUAUGAAAAUAAGGAAUUUUGAUGCUAGAUACUCAAAAAGCAACAGAUAGCAUAAGCAAUGAAACAGUAGUAUCAAGUACAGUUUCAAGGUGUAAUUCGACAAUAAAAUGCAUGCUUUUCAUUCACUUUGUAAAAAAUAAAAUGUUAGCCCAAACCUAACAUGCAUAUCUGUACUUGUGCUUACAGGACAAACUCAAAAGAAGAUAGUGUUAGGUGUGUUAAGGCUGAUCUCACUUGACGCAUACUCUUUUUAAUUUGUGUGCUAUUUCUUUAAUAUUCAAAAAUGCUUUUAAAUGUAGUAAACUGAAGUAACGGGUCACAAUUCUAUUUACAAAACUGUGAAUUGUAGAGAUGAGGCUCGUAUAUCGAAUAGACUCUUAAAAUUGUAUUCCUCGUGUCUCUAUCCUAGGCAUUUAUUUAUCAAUAUUCAGCAUCCUUAAGAAUUUUAUUAUGCUUAAGACAAUUAAACAAACGGGAAUUUCUCAUCCAUUUUCUGUAUUUGUUAAACACUGUAUCUUGCAAAAUUAUGUCUGUUGGUUUUUUCACAUAAUUGAUGUAAAAAAAAUUUCCAAAAUUUUAGAAAUUUUUAGAAAAAAGCAUUUGCAAAGUAUAUUUUUCCCUACUGUUAAGAUACUCAUAUUUUCAAAAAUUCUCUUUGCAUAUGUUUAACUGCAACUGGAAAAAAAGUAAUUAAAAAUAUUUAACUUUAGAUUCUUUAGAAUGCAGUUAGAUCUAAUUUUUUAAAGGAAGUAAAGCUAAAUGCUAAAGCCAAAUUAAAUGAAUACUGAACACACUGUUAAGGUUUUCACUUUUUGCAAAAAAUUAAGUUGGGUGCUUGUCCUAUUGUCGAGUUUAUUUUGCUGUUAUUAUCUAUCUUACUACGCACAAUUUUUAUACAUUAUAAUUGCGGUUUUCUGCUCUGCUGUCUUCAUGCAUUCUCUUUCAUUUCCUCAUUGUUAAGCUUCAAAAUUACCGUACUUGUUUACUUAAUAUUCCAACUUUUCAUGACUGCAAUAUUUACUUUAUAUAACAUUUCUGUAAUAAGAAAUUAUGAAAACAGAAAUUUGAUUUUGUAAUCCUCAUACUUAUAUGCAUCUUUUUAUAAAUGCAUAAAUAUGAUAAUCAUAUAAAUAUUUAAAAUAUGGAUUUUAAUAUUUAUUUAUUAAGCAUGGCUUUCAUAAAAAUGUAGCAUUUCAUCAAAAUCUAGCUCAAAAAGCAUGAUGUGCCAUUAUUUAACUUAUUAUUUAUUAUUAUUAUUAGUUUAUGUGGCACUAUAAAGCAUAUUUGUGUCUUUGUAUACUUCUGACUUCCAGCAAAUUUUGAGUUUUGCAUUCCAUUACAACUGGUAAAUUCUGUAAAAUGAAUUUUCCUUAGAAUAAAAUUUGUUUCAAAGUA